rnacentral:rRNA from 1 species
AGAUUGAACGCUGGCGGCAGGCCUAACACAUGCAAGUCGAGCGGCAGCACGGGUACUUGUACCUGGUGGCGAGCGGCGGACGGGUGAGUAAUGCCUAGGAAUCUGCCUGAUAGUGGGGGAUAACGCUCGGAAACGGACGCUAAUACCGCAUACGUCCUACGGGAGAAAGCAGGGGACCUUCGGGCCUUGCGCUAUCAGAUGAGCCUAGGUCGAUUAGCUAGUUGGUGGGUAUGGCUCACC